CGAUUAGACUGGAGAGGCUGACAGAUAGGAUAAUGGAAAGUGGGUGGUGGGAGAAAAAGUUGGAAAGUUGAUUUGGGGCAAGAUGAAGAAACUUGAAUGCCACGUCAAAAACCUUUAACAUAAUCUCCUAGUAACGGGGCGCUAACAGCGGUCUUCCAGCUGAAGGGCACCGUCCUCGGAUCUGUAUUUGGAAAGACAACUCUGGUCGCAGUGUGAGAUGUGGAGGAGAGGUGGGGAAAACUGAGAGGGAGGCUUCUGAAAACGGCUAGGCAGGACAUCUGAGCGAGGGCAAUAAGAGGAGCAGGGUUAAGAAGAAGGGAUGGAUUCCGGAGAAUUCUUUAAGUGUCUGUUGUCGACACAGGUGAGCAGUCGUGGACUCUAUUCAACCCAUGGAAAUAUCUCCUGAGAAUACAAGUCACUGGUCCACUUCUGACCCUCUAGUGGCUAGGAUGCGCAGAUGGAAGCUGAGAUUCCCAGGGCUGUAAGUUCUUCUGCAGUGCAUUCCCUCUUCGCAUGGUGUGGUUUAGAGCGAUGGUUUUCAAAGUGGAAGAAUCCAAAAGAGAUCUGCUUCAUUUUUCGGUGGAGAAGCUCUAGAACAGUGUUGACCAAUAGAACUUCUGCUCUGACGGACACAUGCUGUAUCUGUGUUGUUCAAUACACAGGCACUAGCCACACGACCUUUGAAAGUAAAAUGAGGUCAUCUGAAUGGGCCCUAAUCCAACGUGACUGGUGUCCCUACAAGAAGAGGACAUUAGGACAUAGGCACACAGAGGGGAAGACCAUAUGGAAACACGUGGAGAAGAUGGCCAUCCACGAGACACGGAGAGAGGCCUCAGAAGAAACCAACCCUGCUGACAUCGUGCUCUUGGACUUCUAGCCUCCAGAGUUGUGAGAAAAUAAAUUUCUGUUGUUUAAACCACCCAAUGUGUGGCAUUUGUUACUGCUG
rnacentral:lncRNA from 1 species